rnacentral:rRNA from 1 species
UACGAAGGUGGCAAGCGUUGUUCGGAUUUACUGGGCGUACAGGGAGCGUAGGCGGUUGGAUAAGCCCUCCGUGAAAUCUCCAGGCUUAACCUGGAAAGUGCAGAGGGGACUGUUCAGCUAGAGGAUGGGAGAGGAGCGCGGAAUUCCCGGUGUAGCGGUGAAAUGCGUAGAUAUCUGGAGGAACACCGGUGGCGAAGGCGGCAUCCUGGACCGGUAUUGACGCUGAGGCGCGAAAGCUAGGGGAGCAAACGGG